UAGUUGAGGGGAUUCUCCAAUUCAUUUGAAGGUCAGAGAUGGGAUUUCAAGCAACAUGCCAAGUGCAGGACUUGGCAAAAAUCUUAUUUCAUCUUCUCUUAGGUUUUCACUUGGGAAAAGUUUUCUACGUUCUCCAGCUUUGCAGCUAAUGAAUUGAUGAUUUCUUUGGACUUAUCUUGGAUUCCACUGAGAUUAAUGCCGCUGCAAGAUGAGCUCGAACAAUGUAGCAUCAGGCUGCAGGUUAGCUCAAUUAUUCCAUCUGCAAGUGCAGAUGGUAUUUUAGACGUGAAUCAAAAUUUGAUGUUCACACAUAUCUAUCUGCUUACCCAAUGAUGCCAGUGACAGGACAAACUAUGUGAGAAACAGAGGAUUAAUGAAAAGAAAGAUGUUCCCAUAGAUUUCAUGGAUCAACACUCCUAAAGACAGGUAAGUUUCUUAACCUUGGCCAUCAUGCAUACUUGGCUGUUCAAUAUAAUAUGUUAUGAAUCCAUCAUACACCAAAGGUAAAAAGACUCGAUGAAGAGCUUGAAGGCCAAGGCUUUGUGAGGACAUGAAGGCAUGUGGAAUAUAAUAGUGGCUUGGAAGAUAUCUCUGUCUGAUCCUUUCUCCCACAUGAAACUACUUGUUUUCCCAUUCAACAUCUACUGCAUAAUUAAAAUUAUUGCAUGCAUUAGUUUAUAUAUAUAUAUAUAUAUAUAUAUAUAUAUAUAUAUAUAUGCCUCCAAAAAUAUUAUGACCGUCGGAUUAGACCAGGAUUGGUUGAUCUGGUGGACCUGGUCCAUCCAAGAAUAUUUUCAGGAAGCCACAGGAUCCAAUGGCUAGGCUUCAGCCACGUUGAGCUUUGGAUCCCACAACGCCGGCCUUUUGGGUCCCGCGGAGUUGGGCCCGUGGGGCCCAGCUAGAACAUAUAUAAUGCUGGUACUCGCACGAGUCAAGAGAGAGAGAGAGAGAGAGAGAGAGAUGGUGGUGGUGGAGAUGGCGGAGGCGAACACGAACACCUGCUUCCGUGGCUGCUGCAGCAGCUCCUCCAUCCCCCUCCACCUCCCAGCCUCCUCGUUCUCCCUCCUCUCCCCCAUCGCCAAAGGUGCCGAGAGCACCGUCUACGAGGCGAGGCUCCACGAUGGAACCAGGGUCGCCGCCAAGAAACCCGUCCUCUCCACCGCCGACGACAUCGACCGUUUCCACCGCCAACUCCAGCUCCUCUGUAAGCUGGAUCACCCGGGGCUAGCGAAGUUGGUGGCGGCGAACGCCAGGCCGCCCAACUACCUGCUCUUCUUCGAGCACUACGAAUCGAGGAGCGUGGCCGAGAAGUUGCAUGUCGAGGAGUGGAGCCCUAGCGUUGAUCAAGUGAUCGCCAUCGCUUAUGACCUAGCAAAAGCUCUUCAAUACCUACACAGCCUUGGAAUUGUACAUAGAGAUGUUAAACCUGCAAAUAUUCUUCUUGACAGGAACCUUUAUCCACACCUAGCUGAUUUUGGUUUGGCCACAUAUAAAAAGGAUCUUAAACAUGUAUCAGUUGAGAAUUGGAGAUCAACUGGCAAGCCUACCGGUGGAUUUCACAAAAGGAACAUGGUGGGAACUCUCAUCUAUAUGGCGCCAGAAAUUCUAAGGAAGGAUAUUCACACAGAGAAAUCAGAUGUAUACAGUUUUGCAGUAUCUAUCAAUGAGCUUCUUGCUGGAGUUGUUCCUUACACAGAUCUACGAGCAGAAGCCCAGGCCCACACAGUGCUUGAAAUGAGCUACACCGAACAACAACUUACAGCAGCAGUUGUUUCCAGUGGUUUGCGGCCUGCUCUCGCUAACCCUGAAUCUGGUGCUCCGCCAAGUCUAUUAUCUCUUAUUGAAAGGUCUUGGGAUCAAAAUCCUUUGAAUAGGCCUUCUUUUGAUGAUAUAGUCAAGGAAUUGUACUCACUCAUGAAGCAUAGAGACAUAUCUAGUUUACCAUUAUUUACUCCCAAUGAUCAAUGUCAAGACAGCAACGAUGACCUCAAAUAUAUUCAAGAAGAUUUGAAUUGGUUAUCUCGUGGAGAAGAAGUAGCCAAGAAAGCACUUGCUGAAAAAUCAAAUAUUACAUCCUGGUCUAGUUCUGUUCAUGAUUCUCUACAGUACAAGCCAGUUUUGUCUUGGGGAUCAUUUGCAACAUGUGGAAGAAGGGAGAAAAUGGAAGAUGCACAUUUCAUGCUUCCACACCUGUGCAAUGAGAAGGAUGUUCAUGCUUUUGGAAUCUUUGAUGGUCAUCGAGGUGCAGCAGCUGCUGAAUUUUCUUCUAGAGCACUGCCAGGAUUCCUACGGAAUUCUGAUUAUAUAUGCAGUCCUGCAGAUUCACUUAUUGAAGCUUUUCUAAAGACGGACUUAGCAUUCAGGGAUGAGCUAGUGUUGCACUGUAACUCGAGAAGAAUUACUCAGAAAGAUUGGCAUCCUGGUUGCACGGCAGUUACAGCACUAAUAGUGGGGAACAAAAUUUUUGUUGCAAAUGCUGGUGAUUGUCGGGCAAUUAUAAGUCGUUCAGGCAGGCCAUUUCCAAUGAGUAAGAGCAACAUCAGUUAUCAUGCCUUACUGAUAUUGGUAGGAUCAUGUUGCAAGCUGUCCUGAGGAAAGAAUGCGUGUCAUGGGAGAAGGUGUCGAAGUGAAAUGGCAAGUAGAUACAUGGAGGGUUGGACCAGCUGCACUUCAGGUUACACGAUCAAUUGGUGAUGAUGAUCUAAAGCCUGCAGUAACAGCGAAUCCUGAGAU